CUCUCAUCGAGAAAUCCCGGAGCAAAACGGCGGCAAUCGUCGGAAAUUUCUCACGGAGACCCGUCGCUGUGCCGUCCAAUUUCUCGCCGAAAAAGCUUCGCCGGCGACGGAGGUAAGCCUCCUCCUCUUCCUCUCUUCUCCCCCUUCCUUCCCGUGCCGAUGUGCACGCUCGCCGGCGACCGGAGUCGCCGGAUUUUGUUGCGGAAGAAUUUUCUUUUUUUACCGUUUUGCCGUCGCCGGUGGUCACCGCCGACCACCGGUUUGGUCCUCUUCUUAUCGGCGAGUCACCCCCUCCUGCCGACGGCCGUCCCACGCCGGCUGCGCCGCCGGCCGGCCACCCAACGAGGGGACCUCAAGGUCUCCUGUUUCAGCCCAAAAGGAACCCA
rnacentral:lncRNA from 1 species